CUGGUAUUAACGAAUGCUGAAUCACAGAUACAGUGAACAAUACCUGGGUCAAACUCUGCACUCCAAGCCCGUGUAUUACUGUGUCCCUGAUUAUGCUACUCAACAAACUGACGCAAUGAGAUAGAAAACACUUUAUUAUUCAUACUGUCUCAGUCAAGAAAGGGGCUGCAGGUAAGGAAGAUAAGAACAGCAAGAGCGGUAAUUAGAGCUAAUACUAUUCUGAAUGACCUGCCUUGACAUUAAAAUGCCUUGGAGAAUUUUCUCUGCCCUUAAAAAGUGAAGACUUUGCUUUUCUGCAUAAGUCUGAUUAAAAAGUGCCAAGUUUCAUGCAUAUGCCAUUAGGAACCUGCAAAGAUACCUCAGCAGGUCCAGGCUCAUCCUGCUAACAGCAGAACCGUGUAGGUAGAACAUCACCACUGCCUUUAGGGAGCAGCAGAGAGGGACAAAAACAUCUGCAUUAUAAGGAGGUAGGCUGCUGUUUAAACUAACACAGAAAAGGUAGCCAACAUUACUUUAGUUUAAUUUCUAUUUUAGGCAGCAAAACAAACAAUUCCACCAAGGCAGCUGUUAAAGCAAGGAGCACAGCUCUUCCGAAGCUGUUGUCUGGGUGGGGUGUGUGCUGUAAGCCCGUGGUGAGAGUGAGGAACUGCACAGGAAUUUAAGCAGCUCUCAGACUCUGCUCUCCCCUUCUGCAGCCUAGAGAGCAGAGAGCUUUUCUCUAGGCUAGUGGGGUAUUUGGCAAGCAAUGGCAUUUAUAUGUCAGCUUGUUUAUCAUAACAGUUACAUUCAGCUGGUUCAGCAUGAGGCAUAUGCUGGCUCUUAGGCUCAGCUGGUACAAAAAGCUCAGUACAACUAAUGCUCUGGGUGUUGGGACACAGGAAGCAACAAGCUCGUCCAGACUCCAAGGUGUUUAGAUUACUAUAAAGAGAAGUGGGGCAAACCAUUAAACAGGAAAAAUGCUGAAAGGUGGCUGUUGAGCAUCAGUCACAGAAAGGUUUUCAGCGAUGGCGAAAUCAGCCUAAAAGCACUUUGUGAGUGCAAAGAGCCAGGAGAAGACAGCAGCCUGGAUGGUGGGAGCAAUGCAGCCACGUAAGGGCUUCUUUCUCCACAAACCUCAGCAGUGUGGGUGCAGUGUCACCUGUGGUGGCUCUGCUUUUUG
rnacentral:lncRNA from 1 species